rnacentral:rRNA from 1 species
AUUGAACGCUGGCGGCAGGCCUAACACAUGCAAGUCGAGCGGAUGACGGGAGCUUGCUCCUUGAUUCAGCGGCGGACGGGUGAGUAAUGCCUAGGAAUCUGCCUGGUAGUGGGGGACAACGUUUCGAAAGGAACGCUAAUACCGCAUACGUCCUACGGGAGAAAGCAGGGGACCUUCGGGCCUUGCGCUAUCAGAUGAGCCUAGGUCGGAUUAGCUAGUAGGUGAGGUAAUGGCUCACCUAGGCGACGAUCCGUAACUGGUCUGAGAGGAUGAUCAGUCACACUGGAACUGAGACACGGUCCAGACUCCUACGGGAGGCAGCAGUGGGGAAUAUUGGACAAUGGGCGAAAGCCUGAUCCAGCCAUGCCGCGUGUGUGAAGAAGGUCUUCGGAUUGUACAGCACUUUAAGUUGGGAGGAAGGGCAGUAAGCGAAUACCUUGCUGUUUUGACGUUACCGACAGAAUAAGCACCGGCUAACUCUGUGCCAGCCGCCGCGGUAACAC